rnacentral:siRNA from 1 species
CCGCCUCUCUCGUCGCCUUCUUGC